GCCGCGUGGGAUUGGGCGCUUGCCUUUUCAAGCCUGCAUGCUUGGCUGCCUCCGUCGAAUUUUGCACUUGCGUCUCAGUUUCGUCUUAUUUAUUUUUUUACUUUUCUUUUCUCUCUAGCAUAUAUCUGUCUGUUCUUAGAAAGGUACAUGUAUUUUCUUGCUUCGUUUCAUAUUAUCUUAAUUGGCAUAUAUAAACAUCUUUGAACGUGAAACACAUUUAAUACUUUCUCCGAUUUUUCUGUUUGACGCCGUUAACCUUUUGAUUUUAAUCUCUCGUCUUAUUCAAAAAAUUUAUAUAAUUAUUGACUAUUUUUAUUAUGAUUUGAUUUUUGUAAAUUUGAACAAAAAUUUUGAAAAGAUGGAG
rnacentral:lncRNA from 1 species